rnacentral:ncRNA from 1 species
GACUUUGUGAGGAAACAUGAUGGAUGUAGAAUAAGUGGGAGCUGGGUGCUUCAGUGCCUGGCGUCAGUGAAAUACCACUGCUGUCAUUGUUUCUUUACUUGUUCAGUGAAAUGGGAACAAAUUGCUUUUUGGUGUGAAGCACAUGCUGGCAUGCGUGGUC